UACAGAGGUCCCAAGCGUUGUUCGGAUUUAUUGGGCGUAAAGAGCUCGUAGGUGGUUCGGUAAGUCGGCUGUGAAAUCUCCAGGCUCAACCUGGAGGGGUCAUUCGAUACUGCCGUGACUAGAGUUCGGUAGGGGAGUGUGGAAUUCCUGGUGGAGCGGUGAAAUGCGCAGAUAUCAGGAGGAACACCCGUAGCGAAGGCGGCACUCUGGGCCGAUACUGACACUGAGGAGCGAAAGCGUGGGGAGCGAACAGG
rnacentral:rRNA from 1 species